GACGAACGCUGGCGGCGUGCUUAACACAUGUAAGUCGAACGAAGAGCGACGGAAGCUUGCUUCUAUCAAUCUUAGUGGCGAACGGGUGAGUAACGCGUAAUCAACCUGCCCUUCAGAGGGGGACAACAGUUGGAAACGACUGCUAAUACCGCAUACGAUCUAAUCUCGGCAUCGAGGAUAGAUGAAAGGUGGCCUCUACAUGUAAGCUAUCACUGAAGGAGGGGAUUGCGUCUGAUUAGCUAGUUGGAGGGGUAACGGCCCACCAAGGCGAUGAUCAGUAGCCGGUCUGAGAGGAUGGACGGCCACAUUGGGACUGAGACACGGCCCAGACUCCUACGGGAGGCAGCAGUGGGGAAUCUUCCGCAAUGGACGAAAGUCUGACGGAGCAACGCCGCGUGAGUGAUGACGGCCUUCGGGUUGUAAAGCUCUGUUAAUCGGGACGAAAGGCCUUCUUGC
rnacentral:rRNA from 1 species